rnacentral:lncRNA from 1 species
AGUAUGCGCAAUACUGAUAUGGUUUUACAAAAAGAGAAAAUACCAUUCUGGGUGAGCAUUGAUUCACAUUGAGGAGAAAUAAUUCAUUUUGUUUUUUAUAUCAGGCAGUUAUUCAAUAAACGGAGAUAUGUGCUGACAUUUGUAUUUGCAAACAUUAGAUUAAAACAGCUGGGUUGGAAUAUCUUCAGAAUGUAGCUUAGAAUUUGCAUAUUUUCAGUUUACUGUUUAGUAAAUAAACCAUGUUCUAGUCUUGUCAUGGGAUUUCUGUGCUUAAACUGGGAGCCCAAAUUAUAAUCAUUAUUUACACAGUCACCCUGUCACAAACACUCCUCCACAGACCAUGCCACCUGUUCCACUCGCACUCUUCACAUACCGCCAUCCAACCACCCACCUAGUCAUACCAACCCACCAUGUCAGAUUCUCAUACCGACUUACCCAGUCACCUUCACUAUUCAAUAGAAUACCACAAACAAGCCAGAUUUACCUUACUUAUCACGUACCCCAGUUUAGUCGCAUUCAGUUAUCUAAGUCACAAAUUAAGUGUGGUACCCCACCUACUGACAUACAACCAUUCAGUUACACAACCUACUCACUUACAUUUACUCAUUAAGUCUCAUAUCCCAGCCUACAGCUAUUCACUAAGCUGGACAGUCAGUGAAGUUCAUAUUUUGGGCCACAAUAGCAAAAUUUCUCGCUUGUUUAUUUUGACCUAAAACGUAUAAUUUUUUGUUCAAUUCCCAACAAUUUCGAGUUUAGUGGAUAACACUGCAAUUCCCUGUUACCCAUCUGAUUACAUACUGCAACCCGUUCCCAUACUCCCAUCUACCCUCACCAGCUCGGUCACAUUCUCCACAUUCACAUGACCACAUACAAUCACCUAACCCCUGUCACAAGCACACAUUACCCAUAUGUCCACAGCCACAGAUCACACAUGCAGUUACUCAUACAUAUGGUGUCUCUCACGUACCUAUACACAUAGCGGACAGAGGUAUGGUGGGGGCAGAACGUUUCAUAUUUUAUGGAUUAGAUAGGUUUGUGGAUUCCAUUCUCACUAUGUUCAGCAAACCCUAAGCAUUAUGGAUAUCUUGUUCAAAUAUAUCUUAAGUGCCAUUUAAAACCAUCAUUCUUAGUGGCCGCAUUUCUUAUGCACAUCCACCUGUCAAGGAAAGGUUAGGACAUAUAGAAAGGUAGGGGCAAAUUUGUCCAGAUCAACAAGGCACAAAAAAAAAAAAUCUUACACCCAGUUUCCACUGACCCUUGGCUCACCGUUGACUGUUUUAUACUUACCUCAUCCAUAAACCGAAACCAUCAAAUACUUGGAAUUUAUUGGGAUAAUAGAAUGUGGAACUGUCUUUAUCAGAAACUGCCCCUUAGAUCCACGUGUGGUAAGUCUGACUCGUAAGAGUAGGCUUGUGAGUCUGACUACAAUUUGAGCAACACUGGGUGAUUCCCCAGAAAACAUUGAGCAACAAAUUAUGUAACCAGCGGGCUGCUGGUAUCUGGAAAAUAAAUAGGAUUUUACGAGAAUUCCUCGUGAUCCCUGGAGAGUACAGAUAUCAUUUGUCCUAAAGCACACUUUAGCUUUAGAGACUAUCAUGUAAAAGAUGUUUGUUUUACAGAGAGGCAGUUAAUAUUUACUUUGAGAGAGAAUGAGUUCUAGACUUCUUCCUCAAUUUACGCAGCUUGAAUUCACCUCUACGUGUAGAAAUAGGUAAUUAUUACCAAUAUCACAAAUAUCAGAAUAUAGUUUAAGGCAAAAAAAAGUGCAGAAAUGAUGAAAAGUGUUUAUUUUAAAAAUAUAUAUAUAUAUUUUUUUUGUAUUGAAAAAGUAUCAAAAUAUAUUUAUUAAUACAUACUUUUCCAUUUAUUACAUACAUGUAACAUUACAUACAAACAUUUUGCUCAGGGCUUACUAACGGGGUAUGGGUCUUUCUAACAUUUUCUCUUAAUUUCCUCUAUUCUUCCUUUUCUUUCUCUUUUCUUCUUUUGAUUAGUAUUGUCCAAGGUUAUAUCUUUACUUCUAAUGUGAUAUUUUAUCUAUUAAAUCUAGACAGUCUUAAUUUAUUAAAGAGAAAUAUAUGCAUACAUAGUGGGUGGGGUAUCUUGGUUCAGGGUAACGGAUGGUGGUACAAAUACAGAUGGAAUAACUGUAAAGAUACAAUGGUAGACAGGCACCUAGUGCAAUAGAAGUAGUAAGUGGGCACUUAAUAAGUGGAUUGUAUGUUUGGAGUGGUUAAUUAUGUAUAACUGGAUUGAUGUGCACAAUAACCUACUUAAUGGCUUUUUGUGUGAAAAGCUGAACUAUGUGUCACUGGUGUGUGACACGUUGAUAAGGGGCACAGAUAGAAAAUUAAAUAGUAAGAGCCUUCUUGACACAAGUAUUUUUAAUAUUAGGGAGAGAGCAGUGAUUGGUAAAUUGGACUUUUACAUACUGAGCAUGCAAUGAGAAUUAGCAGAGUUAAAUGCGUAUAAAUAGCACAUUUAGCGCAUGAUCAAUACAUUUCAAAAAGAUGCAAUUAGCUGCAUUCAUUAGCAACUAAGUAAAUUGCUCCUGAUACUCUGUUGUCUCAAAGGAUUAACCAUUGAUUACCAGCAAUUCGGACAUUCGUAAGCAUUCGUAAGCAUUUGAAUGUACAUUCGGAACGAAACUAGUUGCACAUGUCUAAAAACUAUCUGUUAUUUCUGAAGCUAAUGAUUCAAUUGAUACUAUGUAUAACAGGGGUGACAAAGGGCACCCCUGUCUUGUACCAUUGCUUAUUAGGAACCAAUCGGCUAGGAUAUUUUGGCCCACCGCUCUUGCUGUUGGACAUGAAUACAAUGAUUUGAUAGAGCUGAACAUAAAACCAUUGAAUCCAAAAUUACUAAGAGACUGAAACAGAUACCCCCAGUCUACCCAAUCAAACGUUUUUUUCUGCGUCUAUUGAUAUUGUUUAAAAUGAUUGCUUAUCUCUCUCUGCCUUGUCUAAUUGAUUAAUUAGUCUUCUGAUGUUAUUAUAGGAUAUUCUUCCUGAUAUAAAUCCUAUUUGAUCUCGGUGUGUAUAUCUGGGAGUAUCUGUUUCAGUCUCUGAGUUAAUGAGAGAAAUUGGUCUGUAUUUCUCUGUAUUUUUCUUAUCUUUUAAUAUAGGUAAGAUAUUAGCCCUUUAAAAUUCUUCUGGGGAGUGGCCUUUUUCUUAAAUUUCAUUAGAUGCCAUUGACAGAUGGCCACUGAUGUUAUCUUUCAUGACUUUGUAAAAUAUUCCACUAAACCCAUCUGGGCAAGGUGCUUUUUGUUUUUUAUAUUAUCUAUGGUCCACAUCACUUCUUCUUCAUUGAUUGGAUUAUUCAGCUCUUUUUUUUUAAUGUUAGAAAUUCUGUAAAUCUGAAUUUUAUCCAGGUAUUUGUUAUUUUUCCUGAUCUUAUACUGAUGGAUCUGUUGCAUAGUUGACUAUAAUACUUAUUAAAAACUGUACCUAUGUCUUUUGGUGACAUAUGGAUAUGACCAGGGCCAGCCUUAGGCCUUUAGGUGCCCUGUGCAAAACAUAUUCGCAGUGCCCCCCCCUCCACUGUCAUCCAUGUAUAGUUUGUGUAUAGAAAUGUAGCAAUUGUAAAGGGGAUUUAUUAAAUAAAUAUUGAUUUAAAAAUAAAUAUUCAUUACACACACAGAGUUACAGGCAGACAGUCACACACACAGUUACAGGCAGACAAUUACAAACACACACAAACAGAUGGACAGUCACGUACAUACAGCCAGCCAGUGUAACACACACUCCGUUACAUGCAGACAGCCACAUACACACAGGCAGACAGUCACACACACAGACACAGGCAGAAAAUCACACACACACACACACACACACAGGCAAACAGUCACACACAGGCAGACAGUCACACACACAGGCAGUCACACACAGGCAGACAGUCACACACAUACACACACACACAGGCAGUCACACACACACACACACAGGCAGUCACACACACAUACACAGGCAGUCACACACAGGCAGACAGUCACACACACACAGGCAAACAGUCACACACAGGCAGACAAGCACACACACAGGCAGUCACACACAGGCAGACAGUCACACACAUACACACACACACAGGCAGUCACACACACACACACACAGGCAGUCACACACACAUACACAGGCAGUCACACACAGGCAGACAGUCACACACACACAGGCAAACAGUCACACACAGGCAGACAAGCACACACUGUUGCCUUCAUUAUGGAGAUGGAAGUAGUGCAGCUUCUGGAUUCUGCUUGUUGGGGAAGCAGGGACUCUUUCCUGCUUCACAUGCAGCAAUUGCCAGGUCCGGCACUUCUAGCCCCGCCCCGCCAUCAUUUAGCCCCACCCCACACACGCUAAGCCCCACCCCUACCGCAAUGCUUUUGUUGUUUUUUUUUAAUCCCGGUGGAGAAUAAGGAAAUCCUCCACCCCGGCAGCCGGCCAUGUGUGAGCUGUGUCGGCUGUCAGGGUGCCCCCUGCUCCAAGGCGCCCUGUGUGGUCGCACAGCUCGCACACCUCUAAGGACGGCCCUGGAUAUGACCGUCGUCAUCAACAAUUUUGUAUAUAUGAUUAUUUGCCUGUUUGUUUGUUUUAGUUGGUUUGAUAUCAUUUUAUCUGCUUUAUUAUUUUUACGGUAGCAAGCCUGUUUUAACUUUUCUAAUUACCAACUAAACUUUUUAAUUUCUUCUUCUUUCACCUUUUUUGGAGAUUAAUUAUAUCAUUAGAUCCAUUAGGUAUUGGAUUUCACAUAUUUUCUUUUUUUAAGUUUUAAAGGUUAAUAUAUAACGAAUUAAUAUUGUCCCCUUUUUGUUUAUUGGCUGGUGCUCCAAUUUUUUAUUAAAUACCUUCUUCACGCUCUUUUAAAAGCGCACCAUAAAGCUGCUUUGGAAUUAACAGAAUUUGUAUUUUCAUUGAAAUAUAAUUCUGUCAUCUACUUUAUAUAUGCUAAAUGUUCUUCUUUUAUUAGGAGUUACUCAUUUAAUCUCCGUUGUCUGUUUAUAUUAUAUUCCUUCCUGUCCUUAAUCGACCAAAAUACUGCAUUGUGGUCAGACCAUAUAGUCUGAAAUGUGUUUAUAUUGCAUCAGUAGCAGACUUUCAGAAGUGCUUUCAGACAGUUCACAUUACAUUGGAGAAGGAGAAACACAAUGGGGAGAUAUAGCAAAGUGUUAUGUUCUGAAAUGUGGUGCUUAAUACUAAAAGGAGUGGAGUCACAAUGGAAUGUGCCUGAUGGUUCCACUUGUUUCCAUGGUGACUUCCCCACUUUGUACCAUUUUUCAGAACACAGCACAUUGAUAAUUCUACCUUAUCAUUUCUGUCUCUCAUCUUCUGCUUGCUAUGUUUUUCUCCGGGCCAUUAAAGGGACACUCCAAACACCUAAACACGUCCUGCUGGAGCGUGUGUCUAUUUUUUUUCAACUCUACAUAAAGGGCAGUUUUCAAUAGAAAUUGACACUUUUAUAAGUUAGACUUGUUACACCCCCCUGAAUGUCAAUCAGGCAAUGGGUCCCAUUACUUCCUGGUUUGGUUAGCUCAGUGGAGCUAUACUCAAGAUGCAGCAAUUUCCCAGAGCACUUGCCUAGCAAAGACUUCUCACUGAGCUACAUUUGGAAGUCUGUGAUUGGACAGCCACCGAAAGUCUGGGUGGGGCUACAAAGGGAGGGCUAGCAAAGGCUGGAGGAAAGGGAUCUGCAGCUUUUGCAAGUUGUUUUUUUAGAUAAACCCCAAUGAGAAAAAAUGCAUAAUUAAAUCUAUGCAUGUUUUUAUUGUGGAUAUAUCUACUAAAUAGUGAUUUAUGUAUUUUUAUUUGGUCAGUGUAGUGUCCUUUUAAUUAUCUUCACCUCCAUGCAGAUAUUUGUGGAAGUUCUAGGAAGGCCUGACCAACAGGUGCAAAGGGCGGAGCCUAUAACAAUGAUUAACACGGAGCCAAGAUGGAGGCAUUUAGUUUCUAUAUGAAAUUUUGUUUUUCAGUCCUCAGAAACACAUAAUUGUUACAUUUAGGGUUAAGUGAACCUAAUAGCCCGGGAAGUAUCCUUUUAGUAUUUUAAAUAAUGUAACUGCUGCAUAGCUUACAUACAACACAGAUAUCGCUGUGGAAAUUGUCACAGGAAGUCACUUGAUAUCAAUCUCUGUUCGCAGAAAGAAACCAAAAAGUCCAAUAAGUGGGAAAGAGACAAGGCGUUUUCAGCCAUCGGAUGAUUAUUACUGUGAAAUAAAAAAUCUCAAGGUAUGGAAUAUGCCAUUGUUUGUAGCAAUUUUGACAUUUUGAAGACUCAUUAGCGUCACAUUUUAUUCUGUUUGUCGUGCUAGUGGAACACCAGAAAAAUGCAUAGAUUUGCUGAUAAUAAUAUAUAUAUAUAUAUAUAUAUAUAUACAUACAUACAGGCAUGGGAAAAAGAAAGUACACCCUCUUUGAAUUCUACGGUUUGACAUAUCAGGACAUAAUAACAAUCAUCUGUUCCUCAGCAGUUCUUAAAAUUAGGUAUAUACAACCUCAGAUGAAUAACAGCACAUGACACCUUACACCAGUUAAUGAUUUAUUUAACAAAAAUAAAGCCAAAAUGGAGACUUCGUGUGUGAAAAACAGUACACCUUAUGAUUCGUUAGCGUGUAGAAUCACCUUUAGCAGCAAUAACUUGUAGUAAUGGUUAUCUGUAUGACUCAGUCUCUCACAUCAAUGAGGAGGAAUUUUGGACCACUCUGAAGUUGAACCACUACAUUGAAGUUUGCUUGCAUUUGUUUAUACACACCUCUCUUAAAGUACCGCCACAGCACUUCAACCGAGUUCAGGUCUGGACUUUGACUUGGCCAUUGCAACACCUUGAUUCUUUUCUUUUUCAGCCAUUCUGUUGUAGAUUUGCUGGUGUGCUUGGAAUCAUGGUCCUGUUGUAUGACCCAAUUUCGGCCAAUUUUGCAUUGUCGAAAAAAAGAUGACCCCACAUUUCACUCUAGAAUACCUAGGGUAUACAGAGGAGUUUAUGGUCGACUCAUUGACUGCAAAUUUCCUGGGUCCUGUGGCUGCAGAAAUCAUCAACUCUCUACCACAGUGCUUGACAGUUGGUAUGAGGUGUUUGAGCGGAUAUGCUCUGUGUGGUUUUCACCAAAUGUGGUGUUGUGCAUUAUGGCCAAACAUCUCUACUUUGGUUUCAUCUUUCCAAAGGAUACUGUUCCAGAAGGCUUGUGGUUUGUUCAGAUGCAACUUUGUAAACUAAGCCGUUCUGCUAUGUUGUUUGUAGAGAGAAGAAUCUUUCCCCUGGCAACCCUUCCAAACAAACCAUACUUGUUCAGUCUUUUUCUAAUUUUACUGUCACAAACCUCAGAUGAAUAACAACAUAUGACAUAUUACAUUGUGUCGCAAUUUAAUUAACACAAACAAAGCCAAAACGGAGAAGUUAUGUGUGCUUAGUUAUUCACACAUAACUUCUCCAUUUUGGCUUUGUUUAUGUUAAACAGUAAAUUUUAGUUGUUCACACAUAACUUCUCCAUUUUGGCUUUGUUUAUGUUAAAUUAGUAAAGUUUGCCCCUACUCGCUAUACCACGAGUAGGGGCAUGUCUAUUAAACAGUGAGUAGGGGCAUGUCUAUUAAAAAAAAAAAAUAGGGUCCCCCCGCCCGAGCCCCCACCCACGACGCGCGAGUGGGGGCUUUUAAACUAAAGGGGGGACCUAUUGCCUCCCCGGCCCCCACCCCUGAGUGGUGGGUGGGGGCCCUAAAGUAAAAUGAUGGGGGGGACCUAUUGUCCUCCCCCCUGGCCCCAACCCCUGAGCUGCGGGUGGGUGCCCUAAAUUGGAAUAAGGGGGAGGGACCUAAUGUCCUCCCCCCUGGCCCCUACCCCUGAGCAGUGGGUGGCGGCCCUAAAUACUAAUAAGGGGGGGACCUAUUGUCCUCCCCCCGGCCCCCACCCCUGAGCGGCUGGUGGGGGCCCUAAAACAAAUGCCCCCCCAGGUGACUAGGGGUCCCCAAACCUCUAGUCACCCCCUACCCCAAAAAAAAAUUAUCCCCCUACCUACCCCCCUCACCCUAAAAAUAAUGAGGUGGGGACCUUUAAGUACCUGUAAAAAAAUAAAUAAAACUUACCAUUUGAUGUUUUCUUUCUUCUAAAAAUCUUCUUUUUUCAUCCCCAAAAAAGGCCAAAUAAAAAAACAUAAUUAGGUCCCCCCCCUUAUUCUGAUUUAGGGCCCCCACCCACCGCUCAGGGGUGGGGGCCCGGGGGGAGGACAUUAGGUCCCGUCCCCCCAUUAUUUUACAUCUGGACCCCCACCCGCCACUCAGGGGUGGGGGCCAGGGGGCAAUAGGGAGGGGGGACUUUUUUUGAGGCGGCCUCGGGCUCACUGUUUAAUAAGACAUGCCCUAAAUUCUUGUUAUGUGGUAGGGCAUAAUUCUAAUACUAAGUGAUCUUUUGCCCAGUAUUGGUAAAUUGUCUGAAAACAAUUUGGGUCUUUCGGCCUUUUUAAUGGAGUUCUCCCGUUAGAGAUUAGGGAGUUAUCUACUUAUUUAUUCCUGUCGUUACAUGACUGGCUAAGUAACUUACAUUUUAUUUGAAUGUGUGUUACUUGAUUGUUGUAAGUGUUGCAAAUGCUUACAGCUGAAUCCUGGCUAUGUUUGUAUACUUUUUAUUUAAAAUUGUAUACAAUGUAACAUUCUCCUUCUUUCCCUGGGUAAGUAUAUUAGAACUUAGGCAAUAUUGUGCUUCGGAACUUCGCACUUUGACACUUCGGAACUUCGGCACUUCAGCACUUUGGAACUUCGGCACUUCGACACGUCGGAAAUUCUGUAAUUUCUGAACUUCGGGACCUCGGUACUUCGGCAAUUCGGACAUUCGGAAGUACGCGAAUGUCCGAAUUGCCCGAAAUUCGUCCAAAUUCAUAUUCGGACCGAAACGAAUUGCACAUGUCUACUGCUAAGGAACAGAUUGUGAUAGUGAUUGAAAUGGGACUUCAAAGUCUUGUACAUGACAGUUCCUGUGUGUGAUUGCAUUGUGACCGCAAAGCUAGUUUUUACCUUAAAACCAUAAAUACGCAUGAUUCACUCUGGCUGGCCAAAUGUGUGUACAUUGAAAAUUUAGUGCAAAUUUUAGGUCGAUGUUGGAAAAAUGACACUUUCUAUAUAUUUUGCCAUAAAGCAUGCAAUUUUCAUGUCAAUUCAACACAAUUCUAAAUUUAGUGAAUAUACACUAAAGUCUUGAUUGUUUCCGAAAGUGAACUGUAUAGAUCUACCAUCUCAUAACGGAAUGAUCCUCCUUUUAUCUCCAGGUGUUGCACAAGAAAAAGGAGUCAGAUAUGGUUUACUCCACUGUCUCACAACCACUAAAGGUAACUACUUACUACUUAUUAAUUAUUUAUGCACCACAUUCUUAAUGGAAUACACCAAGCAUCAUAGCUCUAGUAAUUAAGGUGUUAUAUGUACCCUCUUCUCCCCCAUUGUAAGUAGUCAAACCAGUGGCGUACACACAAUCCAUGGGGCCCAGGUGCAAAACUGAUCUGUGGGCCCCCCCCCGAUCCGUGCCCCGACCCACCCCCGACACAUACAGACACACACACACAUACAUGCACCCCUCAACAGACACAUAAACACAUAGACACAAACACACACACAUACAGAGACACAGACACACACACAGAGACACACACACACCUACAUAUGGGGCCCCAUGGAUUGUGUGUAUGCCACUGCAUAGAUAGACACACGUACAUAUAGAGACACAGACACACACAGAGACACAGACAGAGACACAGACACAUACAGAGACACAGACACACACAGACACACAUACAGAGAGACACAAAUACAGAGACACACACACAGAGACACACACACAUACACAUACAGUGACACACAUGCAGAGACACAUACAUACAUACACACAGAGACACAGACACACACAUACAGAGACACAGACACACACAGAGACAAAGACACACAUACAGAGAGACACAGAUACAUGUACAGAGAGACACAUAUACACAUACAGAGACACACACACACACAUACAGAGACAUAGGCACACACACAGACAGAGACACACAUACACAUACAGUGACACACACACACAUACAGAGACACAGACACACACACAGAGACACACACACGCAGAGACACACACAUACAUACCAAGAGACAGACACACAUACAGAGAAACAGACACACACAUAUAGAAACACAGACACACACACAUAUAGAAAAUGUUUCCUACCUUGUUACUUUCCCUGGGGUCCAUUGGUGGCUCAGCCUGAUGGGAGUCAAAGUUCCCACUCUGACUCUCUCCUCCUCCUCCUUCCUCCCGUGCGGGCUCUCAGUAUGCUGGGAGUAGUCAGGGCCGUCUUUAACGCGGGGCAAACGGGGCAGCUGCCCCGGGCCCAGUUGCUCCUGGGGGCCCAGAGCAGUUGCUCUGUGGGCCCCGUGAUUUGCGCAGCCCCUAUGGACCGGGCGGUGUGGCUCCCGCACACUGAGGAGGCUCCCCGGGUGGCCCAUGCACUAAGGGCCACCCGUGGAGCAUGUGUCAGCAGGGCCCAGUCGGGUGCUGUGGCGCUUAAACAGCGCGACCGGGCCCCUCUUCCGGUUCUGCACCCGGCUGGGAGGAAGUGACGUCACUUCCUCCCACCGGAGAUAAUGGCCGCGCGGGAGGAGGAAGGCAGGGAGGAGGGGAGUUCCAGAGGAGAACUCCCAUCUGCCUCAGCCUGCCACUGGACCAGGGAAACCACCCUCCAGGAAAAGGUAAGAACCUGGAGGGUGGCUAAAUGUAUGUCAGUAGGUCUGUCUGUGUGUCAGUAUGUCUCUGUGUGUGUGUGUCAGUAUGUCUGUCUGUGUGUAUAUCUGUGUGUGUGUGUGUGUGUCAGUAUGUCUGUCUGUGUGUUUAUAUCUGUGUGUGUAUGUGUCAGUAUGUCUGUGUGUGUGUAUGUAGGUAUGUCUCUGUGUGUGUGUGUGUACGUGUGUGUCAGUAUGUCUGCCAGGAUAUAUUUGUGUGUCAGUGUAUGUGUGUGUCAGUAUGUAUCUGUGAAUGUUUUAAUGUCUGUCUGUGUGUAUGUGCCAGUACGUCUGUCUGUGUGUAUGUCAGUAUGUAUGUGUGUGUGUGUCAGUAUGUCUGUGUGUGCAUGUAAGUAAGUAUGUCUGUGUCUGUGUGUGUAUGUAAGUAAGUAUGUCUGUGUGUGUGUGUAUGUGUGUGUCAGUCAGUAUGUCUGUCAGUGUAUGUGUCUGUGUGUGUAUGUAUGUAUGUCUGUGUGUCAGUAUGUCUGCCAGGAUAUAUUUGUAUGUCAGUGUAUGUGUGUGUCAGUAUAUAUCUGUGAAUGUUUUAAUGUCUGUCUGUAUCAACCAUUACGUCUGUCUGUGUAUAUGUCAGUAUGCCUGUGUGUGUGUGUCAGUGUGUAUGUCAGUAUGCCUGUGUGUGUGUGUCAAUGUGUCUGUCAGUGUAUGUGUCUGUGUGUUUUAGUAUAUCUGUCAGUGUAUGUGUUUGUGUGUGUCAGUAUAUCUGUUAAUGUAUGUGUCUGUGUAUGAAUGUAUGUAUGUAUGUCUGUGUGUGUGUCAGUAUAUCUGCCAGUAUAUAUUUGUGUGUAGUGACUGUGUGUGUCAGUAUGUAUCUGUGAAUGUUUUAAUGUCUGUCUGUGUGUGUAUGUGCCAGUACGUCUGUCAGUGUGAUUGCGGGUUGGACGUAAUUGGGGGGUGAGGCAGUGGCAGGGACAGGGCCCAUGGGGCCCAAGAAAAUGCAUUACGCAGGGUCCUAAUCAUAUUAUAGACGGCCCUGGGAGUAGUGACCGGGGAAUCACUUCCUCCCAGCGUGUGAUGUUAUCACAGGGGGCCCAGUCGCGCACUUAAAGCGCCCAGCGCUGACCGGGCCCCCUUACAAUCCAUAUCGAUCAGGUGGCCCUGACAGCAUGGGCCACCCGAUGGAUCCAUCCAUAUGCGGGGCCACAAAAUGUGGAAGCAGGCCUGGUACCGGGUGGCAGGCGUCAGCAGGGCGGCCGGGACCCCUGGAGUGAAUGUUUGGACUUUUUAUGUGACAUCCACCGGGCACCACUCCCUUCCUCGACUACUUAAAGGGAUUCUAUAGUGUAAGGAAUACAAAGUUGUAUUCCAUACACUAUAGAGCCCUGUGGUCCCUGCCGUGCCUCCCAGUGCACAAAGGGUCAUAAGCAAACUCAUCAGGGAGAUUGCCACACAUACGCAUUAGCCAACCCUUGCCGGACGACAUCAGAGGAGGCCGAGUGUCGACUCAGCACCAAGGGACAUUGUUGCUGGAAUUGGGUAAGUGGCUAAAGGGUUUUUUAACCAAUUCCAGAGUCAACGCCAUUCCCAUUUCAAUGGGUAUUUAACUAACGCUGGAUGUCCUCAUGUCGGUUAGCUAACAGGAAGUGCCUCUAGUGGCAGUCUGAUUGAUAACCACUACAGGGUGUCUUAAUCCUGCAAUGUAAUUAUUCCAGUUUCUCCAAAACAUUGCAGGGCUAAGAGAACAUGGACACUGCACCCAUACUACCUCAGUUUGCUGAAAUGAUCUGGGUGACUAUAGUGUCCCUUUAAGCCCGAGAGCAAUAAAAGGGAUUUAGAUUUACUGAGCUAGGUCCUAACUCAUAGGACUUAAAGGACCACUCUAGGCACCCAGACCACUUCAGCUUAAUGAAGUGGUCUGGGUGCCAGGUCCAGCUAGGUUUAACCCAUUUUUUUUAUAAACAUUGCAGUUUCAGAGAAACUGCUAUGUUUGUAAAUGGGUUAAUCCAGCCUCCAAUUCCUCUAGUGGCUGUCUCAUUGACAGCCGCUAGAGGCGCUUGCGUGAUUCUCACUGUGAAAAUCACACUGAGAACACGCAAGCGUCCAUAGGAAAGCAUUGUAAAUGCUUUCCUAUGAGACCUGCUGAAUGCGUGCGCAGCUCUUGCCGUGCGUUUGCAUUUAGCCGAAUGGGAGGAUCGGAGGCGGACAGCUCCCCUCACGGCACUGGAGAAAGGUGAGUGUUUAACCCCUUCCUCUCCCCAGAGCCUGGCGGGAGGGGGUCCUUGAGGUUGUUUUCCUGGCACUAUAGUGGUCCUUUAACAGUAAACAAAAUAACUUCUUUACUUUAAAAUAGCAUAUCAGCUUAAACUAAAGCAGUACUUUCAGUAUUUUUAUUUGAAGGUGAUUUUUUUUACCUGUAGAUCUGCACAGUAUUCUGGAGUGGUGUUUUAUAAAGCAGGCACACUUUCAUCCAGGGCUACUUUUUAUUCCCAGUCCUGCCCUGACUUAGAGAGACUUGUAGACCAUAACUAAAUGCCUUGGUGUUUUUGCCUGCUUUGACUCCUAUUGUCGAUUCUCAUACAGAAAUCUCCACUCAGUAGAAGACAAGAUGUGGAUAGAAUGGCUCCAGAAUACGACACUAUUAAAGCUUCAUAUGUUCAAGUCCUGUAAUGUGGGAAAACUGGAAUCCAUCUUCAAUUCAUUUAAUCACGAACCGCUCCCAGUCUGUAAAGGUCCAUCCAUGCAAACUGUCAUUGUAGUCUUAUGGAUACUGUAAACAAGAAUGUGUCAAAUGUUUUCAUUAUUCUGUAUUUUCGAGACUUCUACACAGCGAAAAAAAUGUGGUCAGCUAAACCAUAUGAAAUUAAUUCUGGACCUCCACCUUGUUCAGUUCACGGUUUGGCCCCCCAAAAAUUUUCAUUUGGUUCACAGUCAAGAGAGGAAAUGUAACCAAUGUGAGGGAAAGAGAAACCGAAG